rnacentral:rRNA from 1 species
AAUGAACGUUGGCGGCGUGGAUUAGGCAUGCAAGUCGUGCGGCAGCAGGCCCCGCAAGGGGUGCUGGCGAGCGGCGAAAGGGUCAGUAACACGUGGAUAACCUACCCCCGGGCCCGGAAUAGCGGCGGGAAACUCCCGGUAAUGCCGGAUAAUGUCCCCGGACCCAAGGGGCGAUUCCGUCCGAGGAUGGGUCCGCGUCCUAUUAGGUAGUUGGUGGGGUAGCGGCCCACCAAGGCAAAGAUGGGUAGGGGGUGUGAGAGCAUGACCCCCGACACUGGGACUGAGGCACUGCCCAGACACCUACGGGUGGCUACAGUCGAGAAUUUUCGGCAAUGGGCGCAAGCCUGACCGAGCGACGCCGCGUGCGGGAUGAAGGCCUUCGGGUUGUAAACCGCUGUCAGAGGGGCGGAAAUAUGUUGGAGUUAUCUCCAGCAUUUGACUUAACCUCAGAGGAAGCAUGGGCUAAGUUCGUGCCAGCCGCCGCAGUAAUAC